GGGCCGGUAGCUCAGCCUGGCAGAGCGGCGGGCUCUUAACCCGUAGGUCCCGGGUUCAAAUCCCGGCCGGCCCGCCA
rnacentral:tRNA from 1 species